UUCCCCGGGCUCCCCGGGGCGAACAAUGCGGCGCCGCUCCCGCACCGCCGGGCAGGGGCCGAGAGCGCGACUCCCGGGGGAGGAAGGCAGGAGAGACGAGGGCGGACAAUGUGCAGGGGUGCUCGGUCUCCCGCUCACAACUUCGCGGCGGCGCUUUUAUUUAACCCUUUCCCCCCUCUCCUGUUUCCCCCCCCAGCCCCUCCCCAUGUUCGUUUUUUGCAGGGGGCGGCGGUGCCGGCGGGGCGCGCUGGCGACGGCGGCGACAGCAACAGGUUGCCGGGGCUGUGAUGGAGCCCGCGGGCCGCCGGCCACGCCGCCGCCCGGCCAGGUUCGCCCCGCUCCCCGUGACGUCACAAAGGGACGGGCCUGCGCGCCGCGGAACCUUCGGCGCCCCCCCAGCCCUGCGCCCCCCCGUCCCUCCGUGACGUCAGAGCCGAGGCGGGGCGGGGGCGGGAGGAGCCCCCGGGGCAGCGCUCGGCGGCGCCGCGGGGGAGGGAGGCAGGGACGGAGCCCGGGGGCGGCCGGGCCAGAAGUAAAAGUGCUGUAGUCUGCCAUGAGGUGACACGCUUCACCUACGGAUGGCCUGGUAAGCCCCUCAGACAGAGGGCCAGCAAGGCCUGGCCAGGAUUAGCGUGCUGCAGACAUCUGAGAGCUCCUGUGCCUGCUGCAGUCUUGGAUACAAUACUCUUUAUUUAAGUAUGCUUGAUGUGGGCUCAGGGAGUUUUGCAGGGUGGAGUGGGGGUGAUAACUGCAGCGUCACCACCUUCUUCUGCAUCAGGAGCAUUUGUGCAGGAGCUUGACCCUGGGCACUCCAGGGCUUCAGCCUGCCCUUAUUUUCCUGUGAAUGGUUACCAUUUCUUUCCCCCAUUCUCACAACUGAUGACAGGCUCUAAGUUUUGCCCACUUCCUACAAGAAAUAAUGUAAAUAGGCUGCUGGUAUCAGAGAUAGUAUUUAGUGUAAGUUGCAUAUUUGUUCACAUCACUUUUUGGGGCUUUUUUCUGUUGAGUCUGUCUUGCACUUGUAAUAAGAAUUUCAGCAGCAUAGCUGCUCAAGUUUUUCUUUUCCUGUAGGAAAAGCUUAAAGAUGCUAGCUGCACUCGAGAGCUACUUUUGGGUCCCUCUUAAUCUUCUGGUCUCUUGAAGCGUUAUGUUGUAAGUGGCUAUAUAAGUAGAAACUAAUAAUUAAAAUACAUUUUUUCUUUAAAUGAAUAUUUUACUAUCAACAGAUGCUUUGCCCUGAGAUACUAAUGGACUCCUGCUCACUCUGAUGGUCUGCAAGCCAGGAGCAGUAAGGUGCUGCACAGAGUGAACUAGAGUGAAUGAAGGCCCCUGUGAAGAGUUUCUAAUAUUCGUUGAGCACUUUCACCUUCUCUUGUGAGGUCUACUAAGCCAGCAUUAAGAACAUGUUACCCCUUCCUUUUCUGUAGUAAUAGCUAAUGUUAUGCAUAUGCUAAAGUGUGGUAUAAACGUCAGCUGAUUCUGUAAGGCAGUAGCAUUCCCUCCAUUUUAUUGUUUGAGAUGAAAAAGGAAGAAGUCUAAAUUACUUGCCUGAAGCUAUGUGCUGUAACAGUGGCAGAGUUGGAACUAAUCUGUAUUUCUGCUGCCUUCUCCAAUAUUCUAUCCUGUAGCUUACAGGCUGUUGCUACAAGGCAUGGCAUCUACAUUAUAAGAGACUACUUUAUGUAGUUUCAACUUUCUUCAAAAUUUUCUCCCGAGUUACAGUCUGGACUGUUAGAUUAACGUUAUAUUCUUAACAUAAUAAAGGUCUUUCAGUAUGGAUGCUUCUACUUUUUUUUAAGAGUUGAUCAUACCCUGCAGCUGAUAGAGACCAGUUGAUACUGUGAUGACUCAGCUGUGGGAGUAUUACAUAAAGUAGGUCAGUUUUUAAAUCUCCAAGUCUGAAGCUAAAGAAAAUCCACGUUAAAAUUUAUGUUUUGUUUAUACACAUCACUGUUAUUUCCUGGCUUGAACGUAAGUGAAAGCUCUUGAGGAGGCAGGACAUGUUUCUGGGGGUUGAUUUGGGGUUUGCUUUAGCCCAUUUUUAUUGUAUAGUGACUGAAUUCAAUCCACUUGACGGUAGGGGAAAGACCAGCUGCUUUCAUUUCAAAAGUUUCCAGUUUGCAGCAGUCAAGUGAAAGAAAGGCUUUAAAGGCAAUUUUAAAGUAGGGAAAUGAAAAGUAGAGACACAUUUAUUAUUUUUUAUUACAAGCACCCAGCUUUUGUGUGAUCUAGCAGAUGUGGAAUUUGCAGAGGAAUACUUGAUUCUUCAAAUUUGCAUGUAAAACAUUCUGGUUUCUCCCCCUUAGUCUUUUGCAGGGCUUGCUUCCCAACUAUAAAUGUAAACCAAGUGUAAAUGAUGCAUUGUUUGCCUUAGUGGGCAGACAGUCUGAAAACAAUAGUGCUGAUGGAUUUGACUGCCUCUGUGUAAGAUUAACGGGACAUUAAAAUUCAAGUACAUUAAUGCAAAUUUCAGUGUUGCCAAACCUGAACUUCCCUUAAGUGUUUCCUGGUGCUGAUGGCUCUAAAUGUCCCUGCCCCACAGGCCAAAACUUCAGAUUGACAGUUUUAAACCCGUUGUUAAGACUUUAAAGAAAAGGGUAAAGUAUACCUGUAGUUUAAUGUUCACAUUGAAUGAUGGCACAUGGUACACAUAGACUUUAUGUACUUAUCCACCAUUUUUUAUUUAAAUCAUUUUUAAGUGGCAGGAAGCCACCAGGAAACUUAAAAUCUACAAAUCGCUUGUAAAAUUCAGGUCUAGUAUGUGAGGAUUACUUGGCGCUGAAAUUCAGAUACAGGAAAUAAUGUGAUUGCCAAAAUCUAUUUGGUGUUCUCUUAGAUCUUUGAUCGGUUGGGUGUUUUGCUGGCUCAUUACUUCUGGGACUAUUGGAUGCAAUCCUUCUUGGUUUUUAACAGGCAGGUUUUAUUUGGGAGCUCUUGGUUUUCAUUUGGAUUGGUGAGUUUAUUUCAGUCAGUCAAAAAAACGUUUCCUCAGUGAAGUAGUAGGUAGAAGGCUUAAAACCAUUUGCUGUUUCACUUGCUCGGGUUUCACACUUUCCCUUGUGUAAUGACAUCCUGUUCUGAAGUUGUUCCUUCAGUAAUCUGACAGAGGCCUGGUAUUUCCAGUGUGGGCUGUGGGAAAGGAAUAAACCCUUUAAUUAUAGCAAUGAGGUCUUGUUUGAAAAUAUGCUAGCUCUCCUUCCCUCUGCAUGUCCUGUCUUUUUGUCUGACUCUUCCCUAUGCAGAAAAGGGAUCUGAAGCUGUAAAAUGCUGCUGUUGAAGUUGCUCUGCAAGGGUGGUCACAAUGAGUGGCAAAGCUGAGCAGUGGCUGGGAGCAUUGCCACACCGAGCCCUGCGUCUCCAGGCUCGGGAUCACGGCUCCUUCCUCUGUGAGCAGACGGAUGCUGGGACUGCACCCCAUCUGCUCCUGUGCCAAGUUUAUUGGCUUAAUUUAUGCUUCUGCAGGAAGCUAUUCGGAGUGACCAGCCUGGCUGAGCACAGAAGCAGGGAAAGAGGCACACACAGGUGGAAAUCAUUGUUUCACUGGUACACAUAGGGAAGAUAUAAAGCUGCUUCAGCAUUUGUGCAGCAAAUGUCUCAUCCUGGACUAUUGUUUGAUGCAUCACAAACAAUGUUCCCUAUUUUAAUCUGAGAGACAAAAACCUCCUUUAGUGGGUAUAAAAAUGGGAUUGUGUGAUUAAAAAUACACUGAAGAUGAAGUGAGAAAGAUAAACUAAGGUCUCUGUAUACUUUCUGCAUCUAGGUCAGGCCUUUGGAGCUCAUGUGGUUUCUGUUCAGGUUCAGUUUAGUGCCUGUAGAAUUGCUACAGGCGGAAUUGGACAUUUUGACACUGCUAAAAUCAGUUCAGCAGAAAUGUGAUGAUGCCCCCAGAAGUGUCCAUAAUUGCAUCACUUGAGGGGCAUGAUUUAAUCCUUUCUAAAUGUCUCUCCUCUGUAGUCUGCUUUGUCUUUUCUGCAUGGCUUCUUGCCAUCUUUUCUGCCAGGUUCUUCCCUUGAUUUGCUGUGCAAAAAAGACAGCCUUGGGAUCUGUGACUGAGAAGAAAUGCAAAUAAUAGGAAGCUGAGAAACUGUGGCCUGCUGCUGUACUCCAGGAGGGUUUGUGGUAUUUGAGUCCCUGGUGCUCUGCUUUCAGUUCUUUAAGCUCGCCUUUCUGGUCUGACAUCUUUUGGAUGACGUGAUAGUUGCAGGAGAUUAGCGUAUUUUGGCACACACAUGCUAUGAUGACUGGCUAACGAUAUUUACAGCGUUCAAAAAUAAACCAUGGGAACUCAUUCUGACAUAAUCUACUAAUCUUAGUUUUGCACUUUGAUGCUGUGUUGUCUGAGCCAAGUUAGGAUAACUAUAUAUUGCAAGCAAUUCAUUUUUAGCUUUGCUUGCAGAUGAGUGUUGCGGCAGUGCAUGCUUUUCAAUUAAAAAUGAUGGGAGUGAAUUUGGAGAAAUUAUCAGCUCUUUCAAGUAUAUGCUUAUUCUGUGCCUAUUUUUGAAACAGUUUUAUGUGAGUGGGUAAGGGAUACAUGCUCCAUGAUAUUUCUGGAUAUGUUGUGUACUGGCAUUUUGAUGAGGUUAGUUUUUUCCUUCACUGCCCACAAGAAUGGGAUGGUCUUCUCUGCCCUUUCCCACAUUUGUAUGUUAUGGGAAGGACGUUAUUUUCUCUGUGAGGAUUGUACUUUAUUCUUUUUCUGGUUAACAAAAAAAUCUGUUACUGCCUUGGGUAAACUUUAGUCUUGUGCUAGGCAUCUUGCUAGUUAUGCUGCAUUUGGGAGAGUCCAUCCAAGAGAGUAAGCUUUUGAGGCUCCCAGGGGGCAGGAAUUCAAUUUGCCCUGGACCUUGACAACUCCAUUGAAACGGCUAAAUUACGAUAUUCUAGCCACAUUUUGGAAUGGCGUGCAUGUUUAAGAAUUGCAGUAAGGAACUUGGUGAUGUAAAGCCUGUGAAUCAAGUCAAUGCCAAUGUACAAAUAUUUUUUCAGGUUGCUACUAUUGAAGUGGACAGAAACCAUGAGUCUUGGACAGGAGUCUGUUCAGUCUCUCACUCUUUGAGAUGCUUAUCAUUAUUUUUAUUAGUUGUUAUAUUUAGCAUAUAGUUUCCUGUGCUGUUCUAAAACUAGGAGUCUUUAUGUUCACAUAGUUCAUUGCAUUCAGAUUUUUAAGGUGCUGCAUGCUACCACCUCAUGUUUAUAGCUUUUUUUCCUUUUUAUAAGGUACACAUUAGUCUGAGGGUGACUUAAAGAAGGGAUAUGUUUUCUUCUUUCUCACCUUUUUUAUUUUAUGGGUAUUACUUUCAGCCACUUUGUCCUACAGUUCUUUUUGGUACAUUGAAGUUGUAAGCCAGAUCUCUCAGCUGCAGCAUGCAUGGUAAAACCCAUAAAACACAAAUUUUGAACCCUGAACAUAAUGUCAGAUGAAUUAGGUUUUUAACUCAUCUUGAGCUGAAAAACCCCUAAAAUCCAACCUACUUUUCUUUUGAUUUCAGCCCUAGAAAACUUGAUUCAGACUUUUGAGUUCAUAAAACUCAAAGCCAAGUGAAAAGAAGGCUUUCUGUUACUGUUUUUUAAGUUGACUGGUAACUAAGCUGGUGUUAUAUGAGGUUCCUUUUUGGGUGGGUUCCAGGUGACCAGCCUUAAUUUGACUGUAUUUCACAUGUGGAUGACCUAGAUGGACACCUGAGAUGUGGUUUUCUGAUUGAUAGUCACUUUUUUACCCGCUCCUGAAGUGUAGUGACAAUGAUGAUAAUUCUCAUGGCCUGUUGCCACCUUGCAGACUGGUGAUAGCUUUUCUUCAGAUUAAGGUUCCAGCAGCAGCAGAAAGACUGCCUUUUUCUUACAAUCUUGUUUGGGUAUAGUAGAGCUUUUAAUAAAUUAUUUGAAGAAGUACUACUCCAACUAACUUCUGCUUUAUAGCCACAACUGAAGGGGACAUUUUCUGGUCUCAGAAAGCCAAUGUUAAUUUUUUUUUGUUGUAGUUAUUCACUUUAUAAUGGAGAUAUAGUAAUAUCACUUUGUAUGGCAAGCAACUUCAUGUAACUUAAAAGCUGGACUUGUGGCAUGUUAUUGUAACUGUAACUUGUGAAUUAUUUAUAAUUUGGAAGAAAUAAUGAUUAUCCUAAUGGCAAAUAAUUUUGAAGCAGCUUUUUUUUUUUUUUUUCCCCAAAUCUGUAUUGCCUUGAACCAGUAAAAACAACAAAAUAAGAAGUAGCUGUCAAGAGAAGCUGUCCUUUCCUGUUCUACUCUCUUUUUUCCUAAUCUAUGGUUGGAUGUCCUGUGUUCCACUUAAGUUUUUUGCCUUCAGUCACAGUGUUUUGAAUGUGGAGACUAGUGAGGUGGCUAGUGCUGUGAUUCUGUGGUUAUUCUGAGCCUGCACUGCACUGGAAGAAGUGGUUCAGCCUUCCCUCUGGCUGCUUGUUCCCCUUCUCUUCUGCAGGCUGAAGUGUGCCAGGUGAUCACUCCCAACUCAGAUUGGGGACUUUAGAGGUAAAAACUGAACUGACAAAGUGUGGUUGAUUUUUAAUGUGGUUUUAUUUAAUAUUGCAGUUUGUGAUGUAGCUGGAAAAAUACUUGGUCUUGGGAAAAUGUUACAUGGACACCCAGUAAAGUGGCAAGGGAGGGGUAGGAUUGCAUCUGUUAGCAAUAGAGUGAGUUUAAAUGGACUGUGAAAUUAUGACUAAAUAGGAAUCAAGAUACAUGUUUUAUUUCAUAGCAAGCAAAAUUAGCUGUCCUUGUCUGUUUUAAGGGUUGUUCAGAUUUAGACUUUGCUGUACUGCCUUACUGCUGGAAGCGUGGUGACUAUUAAACAGCAUUGAAACGAAGUUAGGCCUCACAGGUGAAAAUGAAGCUAAAGGUAUUUGUGCCUGUGGUGAUGGCAGUGCUAUAAUCAUUUCCAAAGUGCUAAAAUCAGUUAAAAUAGAAUCAAAAAUGUUCUACUGUUACAUGUUGUGCUUGCUUAGGUAGGAUUUGAACAAUUUUGUACUUCAA